CGUUAAUCCCUCGUAUUAGACAACAUAUUUUUCGACAAAUGUUUGUGACGUGUGACGAUGCCAACUCAAAAAAAAUGUGCAGUGUGUGAGGAGAAAAUUGGGGUGGCAAGCAAGACUUGCCACCACUGUGGUGCAAAGCAGCCCCUGAAAGAGAAGCUGCAAAAAAAAAAAGAAAAAAUUACAGCCGGAUGGAAAGAGCGGCAGAAAAAAAACUGCAGCUUCAAUAAAACGUAUGAUUCAUCACAUUUACUGCUCCACAAGUGGGAACUUUUGGAGAGGCACCCCAUCCUCUUCCUAGGAAAAAAAAGCGGAAGGGGCUUUGUGUCAGAGUGGCUGUGUCCAUGGUACAGUGAGAAUGAGAUUGUGAAAGCUUCCAUCCAAGCCAUGGAAGCAAUUUAUGGGAGACUUCUCAAUGGUAAUGUAUAUAAAUGUGCAAUAACGCAAACACAUGAGACUGUUCAGGGAGACACUAGUUACAUUACUUGUCCACUGCCCCAUCCAUUGUUUUUUGUGUUCUUUUAAAUGAUUAGUUUGAUGUUACAAUUGUAAACUGAAAGUGUGUGGUCCAAACAGCAGCAAC
rnacentral:lncRNA from 1 species